rnacentral:rRNA from 1 species
UGCAAGUCGAACGGUGAAGCCAAGCUUGCUUGGUGGAUCAGUGGCGAACGGGUGAGUAACACGUGAGCAACCUGCCCUGGACUCUGGGAUAAGCGCUGGAAACGGCGUCUAAUACUGGAUAUGAGACGUGAUCGCAUGGUCGUGUUUGGAAAGAUUUUUCGGUCUGGGAUGGGCUCGCGGCCUAUCAGCUUGUUGGUGAGGUAAUGGCUCACCAAGGCGUCGACGGGUAGCCGGCCUGAGAGGGUGACCGGCCACACUGGGACUGAGACACGGCCCAGACUCCUACGGGAGGCAGCAGUGGGGAAUAUUGCACAAUGGGCGAAAGCCUGAUGCAGCAACGCCGCGUGAGGGAUGACGGCCUUCGGGUUGUAAACCUCUUUUAGCAGGGAAGAAGCGAAAGUGACGGUACCUGCAGAAAAAGCGCCGGCUAACUACGUGCCAGCAGCCGCGGUAAUACGUAGGGCGCAAGCGUUAUCCGGAAUUAUUGGGCGUAAAGAGCUCGUAGGCGGUUUGUCGCGUCUGCUGUGAAAUCCCGAGGCUCAACCUCGGGCCUGCAGUGGGUACGGGCAGACUAGAGUGCGGUAGGGGAGAUUGGAAUUCCUGGUGUAGCGGUGGAAUGCGCAGAUAUCAGGAGGAACACCGAUGGCGAAGGCAGAUCUCUGGGCCGUAACUGACGCUGAGGAGCGAAAGGGUGGGGAGCAAACAGGCUUAGAUACCCUGGUAGUCCACCCCGUAAACGUUGGGAACUAGUUGUGGGGACCAUUCCACGGUUUCCGUGACGCAGCUAACGCAUUAAGUUCCCCGCCUGGGGAGUACGGCCGCAAGGCUAAAACUCAAAGGAAUUGACGGGGACCCGCACAAGCGGCGGAGCAUGCGGAUUAAUUCGAUGCAACGCGAAGAACCUUACCAAGGCUUGACAUAUACGAGAACGGGCCAGAAAUGGUCAACUCUUUGGACACUCGUAAACAGGUGGUGCAUGGUUGUCGUCAGCUCGUGUCGUGAGAUGUUGGGUUAAGUCCCGCAACGAGCGCAACCCUCGUUCUAUGUUGCCAGCACGUAAUGGUGGGAACUCAUGGGAUACUGCCGGGGUCAACUCGGAGGAAGGUGGGGAUGACGUCAAAUCAUCAUGCCCCUUAUGUCUUGGGCUUCACGCAUGCUACAAUGGCCGGUACAAAGGGCUGCAAUACCGUGAGGUGGAGCGAAUCCCAAAAAGCCGGUCCCAGUUCGGAUUGAGGUCUGCAACUCGACCUCAUGAAGUCGGAGUCGCUAGUAAUCGCAGAUCAGCAACGCUGCGGUGAAUACGUUCCCGGGUCUUGUACACACCGCCCGUCAAGUCAUGAAAGUCGGUAACACCUGAAGCCGGUGGCCCAACCCUUGUGGAGGGAGCCGUCGA